rnacentral:tRNA from 1 species
AAGGAUUUAAGUUAAACAAAUAAACUAACAACCUUCAAAGUUGUAAAUAGAGCACUCUAAGCCUUA